rnacentral:rRNA from 1 species
UACGGGAGGCAGCAGUGGGGAAUCUUGCGCAAUGGGCGAAAGCCUGACGCAGCCAUGCCGCGUGAAUGAUGAAGGUCUUAGGGAUUGUAAAAUUCUUUCACCGGGGACGAUAAUGACGGUACCCGGAGAAGAAGCCCGGCUAACUUCGUGCCAGCAGCCGCGGUAAUACGAAGGGGCUAGCGUUGCUCGGAAUUACUGGGCGUAAAGGGCGCGUAGGCGGAUCGUUAAGUCAGAGGUGAAAUCCCAGGGCUCAACCCUGGAACUGCCUUUGAUACUGGCGAUCUUGAGUAUGAGAGAGGUAUGUGGAACUCCGAGUGUAGAGGUGAAAUUCGUAGAUAUUCGGAAGACACCAGUGGCGAAGGCGACAUACUGGGCUCAUUACCUGACGCUGAGGCGCGAAAGCGUGGGGAGCAAACGAGGGAUUAGAUACC